AGAAUCAACGCUGGCGGCGUGCCUCAGACAUGCAAGUCGAACGCGAAAGUUUCCUUCGGGAAACAAGUAGAGUGGCGGACGGGUGAGUAACACGUGGGAACGUGCCUUUUGGUUCGGAAUAGCUCCUGGAAACGGGUGGUAAUGCCGAAUGUGCCCUUCGGGGGAAAGAUUUAUCGCCAUUAGAGCGGCCCGCGUCUGAUUAGCUAGUUGGUGAGGUAAAGGCUCACCAAGGCUACGAUCAGUAGCUGGUCUGAGAGGAUGACCAGCCACAUUGGGACUGAGACACGGCCCAAACUCCUACGGGAGGCAGCAGUGGGAAUCUUGCGCAAUGGGCGAAAGCCUGACGCAGCCAUGCCGCGUGAAUGAUGAAGGUCUUAGGAUUGUAAAAUUCUUUCACCGGGACGAUAAUGACGGUACCGAGAAGACGCCCGGCUAACUCGUGCCAGCAGCCGC
rnacentral:rRNA from 1 species